AUUUGGCGAGACCGGCCGGCGGUGCAGACAGUCGAGCGUCGGCGGUGGUCAGGUCAGGUCGGGUCAGGCGAGUGUGCAGCGGCGAGGCAGAGCAGCGCUCCGGUCAGCUGACGAGGACAGGGCAGCGACACAGGCAGGCCCCCGCCAUGACGAUGCUGGAGCCCGAGAUUCGCCCGCUGCACGCGGUGUGGCCGCCCAAAGAGUACAGAAGACCCAAGGAGCCGUCCUUCUUCACACGCAUACCAGAAGCCGACAAGACAGUUGCAUGGCCGCCACGAAAUGAGAACGACUCUCGCUCGUCGUCAGCAUGCAGCGCCCCCAGCGACCCCAGCCAGACAGUGGUCCUCAAGCAGGAGCUCCCUGUCCGCCAGGAGGCACCGCCGGUUAGUAUCCGUCAUAUCGGC